rnacentral:rRNA from 1 species
UGGGGAAUUUUGGACAAUUGGGGGCAACCCGUGAUCCAGCAAUGCCGCGUGUGUGAAGAAGGCCUUCGGGUUGUAAAGCACUUUUGUCCGGAAAGAAAACGCCGUGGUUAAUACCCGUGGCGGAUGACGGUACCGGAAGAAUAAGCACCGGCUAACUACGUGCCAGCAGCCGCGGUAAUACGUAGGGUGCAAGCGUUAAUCGGAAUUACUGGGCGUAAAGCGUGCGCAGGCGGUCCGCUAAGACAGAUGUGAAAUCCCCGGGCUUAACCUGGGAACUGCAUUUGUGACUGGCGGGCUAGAGUAUGGCAGAGGGGGGUAGAAUUCCACGUGUAGCAGUGAAAUGCGUAGAGAUGUGGAGGAAUACCGAUGGCGAAGGCAGCCCCCUGGGCCAAUACUGACGCUCAUGCACGAAAGCGUGGGGGAGCAAACAGGAUUAGAUACCCUGGUAGUCCACGCCCUAAACGAUGUCAACUAGUUGUCGGGUUCUUCAUUUGACUUUGGUAACGUAGCUGAACCGUGAAGUUGACCGCCUGGGGAGUAACGGUCGGCAAGAUUAAAAACUCAAAAUGAAUUGACGGGGG